rnacentral:rRNA from 1 species
CAGCCGCCGCGGUAAUACGAAGGGUGCAAGCGUUAAUCGGAAUUACUGGGCGUAAAGCGUGCGUAGGCGGUGAGUUAAGUCUGCUGUGAAAUCCCCGGGCUCAACCUGGGAAUGGCAGUGGAUACUGGCUCGCUAGAGUGUGUCAGAGGAUGGUGGAAUUCCCGGUGUAGCGGUGAAAUGCGUAGAGAUCGGGAGGAACAUCAGUGGCGAAGGCGACUAUCUGGGCCAACACUGACACUGAGGCACGAAAGCGUGGGGAGCAAACAGGAUUAGAUACCCCAGUAGUCCCUGUCUCUUAUAC